GACGAACGCUGGCGGCGUGCUUAACACAUGCAAGUCGAACGGAAAGGCCCUGCUUUUGUGGGGUGCUCGAGUGGCGAACGGGUGAGUAACACGUGAGUAACCUGCCCUUGACUUUGGGAUAACUUCAGGAAACUGGGGCUAAUCCGGAUAGGAGCUCCUGCUGCAUGGUGGGGGUUGGAAAGUUUCGGCGGUUGGGGAUGGACUCGCGGCUUAUCAGCUUGUUGGUGGGGUAGUGGCUUACCAAGGCUUUGACGGGUAGCCGGCCUGAGAGGGUGACCGGCCACAUUGGGACUGAGAUACGGCCCAGACUCCUACGGGAGGCAGCAGUGGGGAAUAUUGCACAAUGGGCGGAAGCCUGAUGCAGCAACGCCGCGUGCGGGAUGACGGCCUUCGGGUUGUAAACCGCUUUCGCCUGUGACGAAGCGUGAGUGACGGUAAUGGGUAAAGAAGCACCGGCUAACUACGUG
rnacentral:rRNA from 1 species